rnacentral:tmRNA from 1 species
GGGGGCGAACGGUCUCGACUGGGCAUGCAGAAGCGAGGCUGCGCGUCGAGGUGGCUCGGGUCCUCGUUAAUCUCCUGAGCGGCGCAUAAACGCCAACACCAAUCAGUACGCUUACGCGGCCUAAGUAGCCGCGUACGUUCACCCGAGCGGGCCGGCAGCCCGGUGUGGACGCCAAUCGCCGGCUACCGUCAGCGUCCUGGCCCGGGGCGCGCGGCGGGAACCCUAACGGGCUGGCGACCGGAUGAUCCGGCUCAGGGGAGCAUCCGGACGCGAGACCCAAUCCCUGAGACACA